UGAGGCGGCGCGGGGCGGUGACGUAAUGCGCCCCUAGUGGUAGGUGUGUUCACGCUCUCCUUCUGGAGGUUUUCGGUUCUGUUUGUACCGCUACGUCGGCGGGAGGCAGUGUCACAGUCGCCGAGAAGCAGCUGUUUGUCUGCGCCCGGGAGCUGCCCACUCUUGAAGUGACUGGCCUGGAAAAACGGUUGCCCAGAUCAGGCGCACAUAAGCCACGCUGGAGGGCCACACCCUUGAAGAUAAGGGCGUACUACUUGCAGGUUCCCCCCUACAGGAUGAAGCCACUCUGGGUCAGUGUGGGGUAGAAGCCUUGACUACUUUGGAAGUGGUUGGCCGCGUACUAGGAGUGGGAAAACGAAAGCUGGAUCGAGAGCAUGGCGUGUUUCAAGAAAAGUGGGAGCGAGCUUAUUUCUUUGUGGAAGUAAAGAAUAGCUCUUUGUGUUUAAUAUGUAACCCAACAGUGUCUGUGUCAAAAGAAUACAACUUAAGAUGCCAUUAUGAAACAAACCAUAGUAAGAAUUUUGUCUGGUAUACAGAAAAAAUGCGUGAUGAAAAACUGAAUGAACUAAAAAAAGGACUGAAAGUUUUACAGCGUUUAUCAUCAAACGCAAAUAACAUAAGUGAUGCUGCUGUGAAGUGCAGUUAUGUAAGAAGUGAAAAAAUUGCCCGGGCUUCAAAACCUUUUACAGAUGGGGAGUUUAUAAAAGAGUGUCUACUGAGCGCAGCCGAAAUCAUGUGUCCUGAACAGAAACAAGCAUUUGCAAACAUCAGUCUAACUGGAAACACUGUCGCUCAGCGAGUAAAAGAUAUGGCUGAAAACGUACAGGACAAGUUGUGAGAAAAAGUGAAAUCAUUUGUGGCAUUUUCUAUUGCAGUUGAUAAGAGCACAUAUAUAAAUAAUACGAGCCAGUUAAUUAUAUUUAUCUGUAGUGUUGAUGAGAAUUUUUAUGUCACUGAAGAACUUUUGGACAUGGUACUAAUGACAGAUCCAACAUCUGAAAAUGACUUAUUUUUGGAUGUUGAGAAAAGUCUUGAAAAGUUUAAUGUUGACUGGUCAAAAUUAGUAAGUGUGACCACAGAUGGUGCUCCUGCAAUGGUGUCUGAUAACAUUGGGCUUGUUGCAAAGCUUAAAUCCAAGAUCAAAACAUUUUGCAAGGAUACAGAACUCAAAUGCAUUCACUGCAUCAUUCACCAGGAAUUGUUUUGUACUAAAAGGUUAAAACUAGAACAUGUCAUGGAUGUAGUGAUUAACACCGUGAACUGGAUACCUUCCCGUGGCUCGAACCACAGACAGUUCAGUGCUUUGCUUGAUGAAUUGGAUGCACAAUAUGGUAAUCUCCUUUACUACACAAAGGUAAAGUGGCUUAGUCGUGGUACGGUACUGAAGAGAUUUUUUGAACUGAUAAAAGACAUAGAUUUGUUCAUGCCAUCCAAGGGAAAAUCCCUUCCCCAGCUCACCAGUGAAGACUGGAUCAGAGACCUGGCCUUUUUGGUUGACAUCACAGACCAUCUAAACACUGAAUAUUUCUCUGCAAAGACGUUCACAAGUCGUUACACAAAUGUAUGAUUCAAUUUGCUCUUUCCUAGAGAAACUGAGUCUUUGGGAAACUCGUUUGGCAGUAAAUAAUCUGGCCCACUUUCCUGCACUGAAGUCAGUUUCCAGAAAUGAAAAUGAUGGCUUGAUCUACAUCCCCAGAAUUGUAGAGCUGAAGACCCAAUUCCAGAAAAGGUUCUUUGAUUUCAAACAUUAUGAAAAUGAACUCACAUCAUUUAGCUCGCCUUUCUCAAUUAACGUUGAUAGUGUUAAUGAAGAGUUACAAAUGGCAGUUAUCGAACUGCAAUGUAAUAUGGUAUUGAAAACUAAAUAUGAUGACAUUGGAAUAUCAGAAUUCUACAAAUACCUCGGAAAGAGUUACCCUAAAUAUAGAAACCAUUAUGCAAACAUUCUGUCCAUGUUUGGAAGUACCUAUGUCUGUGAACAGCUGUUUUCCGUUACGAAAUUGAGUAAAACUAAAUUUCGCUCCCAGUUAAAAGAUACAAGAUUGAAUUCUGUUCUACACAUUGCAACUCGAAACAUGAGACCUGACACUGACAUCUUGGUGCAGAAGAAAAGGUGUCAGGUUUCUGGUUCCAAGUCAAAGGAGUAACAGAUUUUGAAAAGAAUUUUAAUAAUUAAAGAUUUCUGUUUUUCAGAGUGUAUUUUUAAAGCUUAACUUUGAAAUACCCGGUACAGGCAGUCCCCAGGUUAUGAAUGAGAUCUGUUCCUGAGUGUGUCUUUAAGAAUUUGUAGGUAAGUUGGAACAGGUGCAUACGCUUCUUAUUUAGCCUUACUUUAGUGCAAGAGAAGGCUUGAAGCUUUUUCAGUGAGUUAAAAGCUGCACGUGCAACAAGUGAAGAUGAUUGUAAUGAAGAAUUUGUUGCAAGUUUGGGUUGGUUCAGUCGUUUCAAAGUGAGGGCAAAUUUAUGUAACAUUAAAGGGCAAGUUCAAGUUGUAAGUCAGAUGGCUGUUUGUAACCCGGGGACUGCCUGUAUUAUAAAUUGUGUAUGUUAUAUACUUCUACCAUGGUUGAGUAAAAAAAUGUUGAGUGGUUUUUUUUUUUUGGUUGUUGUUUUGCAUUUGAUAUUUCAUAUACCUGGCCUGCUGCACUUGUUUUUGUAACUUACUUGGCCACCCAGCUUGAGUUUGAGGCUCCUGCCUAAUGGAGUCAGUGGACAUGUUAGUUUUUAGGUCUUUCAACAAGUCUCAAGCUAGUGAGACGGUCACCUGCUGCCUUGAGCAAAGAACGGUCAUCCAACAGGAUGCGGAAAUUGUUGAACAAUAUCAUUAAUACCACAUGCAAGUAAAAUUUUACUGAAGAUAAUUCAAAAACAGUUGCAGCAGUACAUCAACAGGGAACUGCCAGAAAGUCAAGCCGGAUUCAGAAGAGGAUGUGGAAUAGGGAUAUCAUUGCUGAUGUCAGAUGGAUCUUGGAUAAAAGCCAGAACCUCGGAGCUAUCCUUGGUUUCUUCCUUUCCCAUAGCCCACAGCCUCUGAAAAGCGUCCACUGGUCUUAGAGACUAGAGUCACUGGUGACCUUAGGGAGAGUCCUUUUGGUGACACAAUUGAAGGCAACAUCAAAUCUGACAAUUCUCAAAACCACUUGGCCAGUUGUUCAGUAGGCGCUGAUUGUGACAUAGCUGUUGAUGAGAUUGUGCUGAGAUUGGGCAGGAGGCAGGUGGGGGCAGGGUGCUACAUAACCAGGCAGCUGGCCUUCCACUCAUCAGAAGUUGUCCCAGAUGCCAAAAGGGAACCCUGAAGGCCCUGAGCAAUUGAAAUCAAUAGCACAAGAUGUAAGAAACGCAUCCAUGCACAAUCUUUACAGGAGAGUCGUGGGAGACCUACCUCAGGGCUUAAUGACUCUUGUUUCAUGUACAUUUCUAUCAAGUACAGUCUGAUUUCCAAGGCCAGAGCCUGAGAAACAGCAGAUUACCAUAGGGAAACCAAAAGAGGAAGACAGAGAAAUUAUUAUAAAGCAGAGUUGAAACAGGCACGAUUAUUGAGACUAUUUACUGUAGGAUAGGCAGCCUGGCAUACUUCACCAAGAGGGUUGAGGUCAAAUGUGAGGAAGCAGCAGAAGGCCUUGGAAAGACCUAGCCUUGAUCCUGGCUUUGUCACAGCCUCACUGAGUUGACCACCAACUCACUGCACUUUUUCUCAGUCUUAUAGUCAGUGAAACAGAGAUUAACCUCUGUCCUGCCAAUUAACUAGGAAACUAUGUAUGAAAAGUAUAUCUAUAUGGAAGUAAAUAGAGGUUGUUAUAAGACACUGAACAAGGUACAAUCUGUGAGAAAGCAGAAAGGGCCUAACGUUUAUUGAUCACCUGCUGUGAGCCAGAUGCUGGAUACUUUUAUUUAUGUGCUUUCAUCCCCCCAAAAAAGCCCUUAGUAGAGUUGUUACUGGGUACAGUUAUCAUCCCAAUUUUAGUGACGAAAAAACAGAAAGCACAGAGAAGUUAACUAGCUUUCCAAAGUCACAUGCUAGGAAAGGCAACACCACAUCUUCUCAGAAGACCACGUGCAGCCGCCAUCUUCAGGCCCCCCGGAAUCCGGCAAAGAUGACAUCAACAGAAAUGUAUAUCCUGUAUGUCGUUAGUUGGUAGGUGCUGUUGAGUCAGUUCCAUCUCCUCAUGACCCUGUGUACAACAGAAUGAAACACUGGGCCAUCCUCAUAAUCACUGCUC